rnacentral:rRNA from 1 species
UACGUAGGUGACCAGCGUUGUCCGGAUUUACUGGGCGUAAAGAGCGCGCAGGCGGUCGUUCAAGUCGAGUGUGAAAGCCCCCGGCUCAACUGGGGAGGGUCAUUCGAUACUGAUCGACUGGAAGGCAGGAGAGGGAAGCGGAAUUCCCGGUGUAGUGGUGAAAUGCGCAGAUAUCAGGAGGAACACCGGUGGCGAAGGCGGGUCUCUGGGCCGAUACUGACGCUGAGGAGCGAAAGCGUGGGGAGCAAACAGG